CCAAGAUGAUCACAAGAAUAAAAGACUGACACAAUCACAUUUGUCAAUUGCGUAUUGACCGGGGAUAUCGACAAAAUUCCAGGCGCCGUUACUAGGCAGACCCGCGUAGAGCCGUCAUUUCUCCUGCCCGGGGCUUGUUUGUUAAUACAGCGUGUCCCUCAACACUUCUAU